rnacentral:lncRNA from 1 species
CAGCCUUUGGUGCAGCUGUAAGUCGGAUGGAAUCCACCUUCCUGACGUCAGACCCACCCACUGGAACACUGCUCCUCUGACUGGGGCUUCCCUGAAUGGAAACUACAUGUCAUACUGCAAAAACAACUUCUGAAAGAGAAAAAAGUCUUUGUCUCAGUUUCUGCUCUCCAGAGGUAACCCAAAGGUAAAAGGUAAGGAACCCAGUGAGAAAGACAGAGAGAAGUAUGGACAAGAAACAGAUCCUAAACCUGUUUUGUUUUAUUUUUGGUAGUAGUUGUUUAUUUUUGAAAACAUUCAAACCACCUGUAUUGGUGGCUGUUAUUAUGAAAUAAAUAAACUGAGAAACAACAAGACAAUUUGGCCUCUACAAUUUGUUUAGUUUUGACUAAGUAUUUGCCUUGGAAGAAGUAUGUGUACAAUAUUCAUUUUUAAAAGAUGCAACAGUCACCUCGUUACUUGGAGUUUUACUUGAGGCUUGAAUGGACUGAAACCACCUGGACACCACUAGAAGCUACAUCAAGGAAAAGAAAGGCAACAUAUUGAAUCUCUUGGGAGAAACUCAUCCUGUAUCUGCUCGAUUGAAAACAUGAAGGUGCACAUUCCAAGCUGCAUAUGCUCAGGUCCGAGUUUCCAAGGAAACAAGGGACUGCUCAUCUAUCUGCAAAACUGAACUGACGAGUCACUUUC